UAGGAACAAAAUGAAUGAAUUCCCUCUAGCUAGUCCUAGUUAUAGAAAGAUGAUGGAAAGAUCUGCAAAAAAAAUCAGAGAGAACAGUUCUUUUAAUGACGAGGAAGAAGUUUUAAAUUUUAGUAUCGGACCUAGAAAUUUAAUGAACGUUUUCGAAGCAGCAUCCGAGGAGACAUGAAUUAUGUACAGAUUAGUCAAACGCCUUUUUUUUAAUUGAUCAAAUUAUGAUUCUUUGGAAUUGUAUAGUCGUCUUCAACAAUAAUUUUUGCUGUAUUUGUUCCGGCAUCUGGCCAGACAGAAGCCAAGCAGGCUUGUGAGACACAUUAACGUUUUACAACUGUGAUUUAG
rnacentral:lncRNA from 1 species